rnacentral:ncRNA from 2 species
UUGAAUAUGUGAUAUGCGACUCAUAUAAGCCUGCAAAUUUGGUGCAGGAGUUUCUACGUGGCAACCUAUAUUGCCUACGCUAUGAGUGCUAACGAAGCGCGU